rnacentral:rRNA from 1 species
AAGACCUUGCGCUUUUGGAGCGGCCGAUGUCUGAUUAGCUAGUUGGUGGGGUAAUGGCCUACCAAAGCUUCGAUCAGUAGCUGGUCUGAGAGGACGGCCAGCCACACUGGGACUGAGACACGGCCCAGACUCCUACGGGAGGCAGCAGUGGGGAAUUUUGGACAAUGGGCGCAAGCCUGAUCCAGCCAUGCCGCGCGAGUGAAGAAGGCCUUCGGGUUGUAAAGCUCUUUCAGCCGGGAAGAAAAGGCUGCGACUAAUAAUCGCAGUUCAUGACGGUACCGGAAGAAGAAGCACCGGUUAACUACGUGCCAGCAGCCGCGGUAAUACGUAGGGUGCGAGCGUUAAUCGGAAUUACUGGGCGUAAAGGGUGCGCAGGCGGUUUUGUAAGUCAGAUGUGAAAUCCCCGGGCUUAACCUGGGAACU